CAAGAGCUGAUGAUGCUGUUACAUCAAAAGCUUUGCAGCAUUUUGGAUGCUCCUGAGGAGAUGCCUAUUGUGAACUUCCCUUGGUUCUAAAAAUCAUCACAUUUUGCAGACAAAUGAAGUGGAGAAGCAAACUCUGAGGGCUUUGCAGUCCAGGCACCUUGGAGGAGGAAUAUCUGGCACCAAAUUCCUGUAGAUCAGUGGGUGUUCACUGAGACUGGACCAUUUCUCAGAAGAGAGGAUUUUUGUCAAUAUUUAGUGGUUCUAAGGAAACCAAGGACUUGAAAGCCUGCUGGCCCAUCAUGUCCUCCAUCCUUGGGAAGAUGAAGAAGUUUGGCAGUUUUGACAUGGAGGAAUCUGAAGUGACAGAUGAACACACAGAUGGGGAGGACUCUGUUCAGGAAGCCCCUGACAACACCCAGGGCCCACUGAGCUCCAGGGUGCACCCACCCAAAAGCAACAUUUUUGCAAGACGGGGCCGCUUUGUGAUGGGGGACAGCGACAAGGACAUGGCUCCCAUGGACUCCUUCUGCCAGAUGGAUCACCUGAUGGCACCUUCUGUCAUCAAAUUCCAUGUGAAUUUGGAGAGGGGCAAACUUCACAAGCUCCUGUCUACAGAUUCCAUCACAGGCUGCUCAGAAAAAGCUUUCAGAUUUUAUGACCGCAGAAGGAUCUUUGAUGCUGUAGCCCAAGGCAACACAAAGGACCUCAGUGACCUGCUACUCUACCUUAACAGAACCUUCAAGCAUCUCACAGAUGAGGAGUUCAAAGAGCCUGAAACUGGCAAAACCUGUUUACUGAAAGCCAUGCUGAAUCUACAUGAUGGGAAAAAUGAUACCAUUCCCUUGCUGCUGGAUAUUGCAAGGAAAACUGGAACUCUGAAGGAGUUUGUUAAUGCAGAAUAUACUGACAACUACUACAAGGGCCAGACUGCUCUUCACAUUGCCAUCGAGAGGAGGAACAUGUACCUGGUGAAGCUCCUGGUCCAGAAUGGAGCAGAUGUUCAUGCCAGAGCCUGUGGGGAGUUCUUCAGGAAAAUCAAAGGGAAAUCUGGCUUUUAUUUUGGAGAGCUGCCUUUGUCCCUGGCUGCCUGCACCAACCAGCUCUGCAUUGUGAAAUUCCUCCUGGAGAAUCCCUACCAGGCAGCCAACAUUGCUGCUGAGGACUCCAUGGGCAACAUGGUCCUGCACACCCUGGUGGAGAUUGCAGAUAACACCAAGGAUAACACCAAGUUUGUGACCAAGAUGUACAAUAACAUAUUGAUCCUUGGUGCCAAAAUUAAUCCCAUCCUCAAGCUGGAAGAACUCACCAACAAGAAAGGGCUGACUCCUCUAACUCUGGCAGCCAAAACAGGGAAGAUAGGGAUUUUCGCUUACAUCCUCAGACGGGAGAUCAAAGACCCCGAGUGCAGACACUUGUCCAGGAAGUUCACUGAAUGGGCCUAUGGACCUGUCCACUCCUCUCUUUAUGACCUGUCCUGUAUAGACACCUGUGAGAAAAAUUCAGUGCUGGAGAUCCUUGCCUACAGCAGUGAGACACCAAACCGUCACGAGAUGCUGCUGGUGGAGCCCCUUAACAGGCUGCUGCAGGACAAGUGGGACCGCUUUGUCAAGCACUUGUUUUACUUCAACUUCUUUGUCUACACCAUGCACAUCACCAUCCUCACUGCAGCUGCUUACUACAGACCUGUACAGAAGAAUGAAAAGCCUCCCUUCACCUUUGGUUACAGCACUGGGGAAUAUUUUCGAGUAACUGGAGAGAUCCUGAGUGUACUGGGAGGCCUCUAUUUUUUUUUCAGAGGGAUCCAAUAUUUCGUGCAGAGGCGCCCAUCACUGAGGACACUGAUAGUUGAUGGCUACAGUGAGGUUCUUUUCUUUGUCCACUCCCUGCUCCUGCUGAGCUCUGUGGUGCUCUACUUCUGUGGCCAGGAGCUCUACGUGGCUUCCAUGGUGUUCUCCCUGGCCCUGGGCUGGGCCAACAUGCUCUACUACACGCGGGGCUUCCAGCAGAUGGGGAUUUACUCGGUCAUGAUCGCCAAGAUGAUCCUUAGGGAUUUAUGUCGCUUCAUGUUUGUCUAUCUUGUAUUCCUCUUGGGAUUUUCUACAGCUGUGGUGACUUUGAUUGAAGAUGAUAACGAGGGGCAGGAAACAAAUAUCUCUGACUAUGCCAAGUGCUGCCACUUGAAACGGGGCCGCACCUCCUACAACAGCCUCUACUACACCUGCCUGGAGCUCUUCAAAUUCACCAUUGGCAUGGGGGACCUGGAGUUCACAGAGAAUUACAGGUUCAAGUCUGUGUUUGUCAUCCUGCUGGUGCUCUAUGUCAUCCUCACCUACAUCCUCCUGCUCAACAUGCUCAUUGCACUGAUGGGGGAAACUGUCAACAAAAUUGCACAGGAGAGCAAGAGCAUCUGGAAACUCCAGAGAGCCAUCACAAUCCUGGACAUUGAGAACAGCUACUUGAACUGUCUGAGGCACUCGUUCCGCUCUGGGAAGCAAGUCCUGGUGGGGAUCACCCCUGAUGGCCAAGAUGAUUACAGAUGGUGCUUCAGGGUUGAUGAAGUGAACUGGUCCACGUGGAACACCAAUCUGGGCAUCAUCAACGAAGACCCUGGGUACUCUGGGGACCUCAGACGAAAUCUCAGUUUCUCCAUUAAGCCUGGCAGAGUUUCAGGGAAGCACUGGAAAACAUUGGUUCCACUUCUAAAAGAUGGAGAGAAGAGGAGAGAAGAGCCUCACAAGCCACCAGAAGAAGUCAAAUUAAAACCUGUUUUGGAACCUUAUUUUGAGGCAGAAGAUUCUGAGGAGUUGAAAGAGUCAAUUCCAAAGUCAGCCUAAUUUUGAUUGCUUGUGCUGGUCCUCACAAAAGGGACAAUAGAGCACUUCAUUUACAGGAACAGGGACUUCUGGAAAAAGCAACAGGGAAAAAUCUGGUGCUGAAAAUCCAUCUGGCUGGAUCUAUAAAGAGAAUAAGGAAAAAUAUCAGAGGGAAUAUAGGCAGAUGUUCUGAAAAUACAGAUGGGAGCCUUGGAAAGAGAGGAAAGGAUAAGAGGAACUUUGGCAUCUUCUUGAAAAAGUCGUAGAUAUAAACAGAGAAAACUGACAAAGGAUUUGAAAGAAUUACUUGAAGGAAGUCAGAAUUUGAACUGGAAAUAAUCAGAAUUCAGUGUCUCUGGUGGACAAGGAAGCCACAGAAGAUGUUUAAAAAAGAGAGAAAGAGUAAACACAGUGCCACAGUUGCAGGGAAUAUAUUUGUGAUGGAGGCUGCAGCAAACCUUCUCCAUCCCCUUGUGCAUGGGGCUGUUCUUUUCUGGCAGGGAUCUCUGGGAAUGAUAUCUCCAGUGCAGAAAUCCAUCCCAGCAUUGCUAAAGAGGCU